CCUGGCUCAGAUUGAACGCUGGCGGCAUGCUUUACACAUGCAAGUCGAACGGCAGCACGGGUGCUUGCACCUGGUGGCGAGUGGCGGACGGGUGAGUAAUACAUCGGAACGUAUCCUAAAGUGGGGGAUAACGCAUCGAAAGAUGUGCUAAUACCGCAUACACUCUGAGGAGGAAAGUAGGGGAUCGAAAGACCUUAUGCUUUUGGAGCGGCCGAUGUCUGAUUAGCUAGUUGGUAAGGUAAUGGCUUACCAAGGCAACGAUCAGUAGUUGGUCUGAGAGGACGACCAGCCACACUGGGACUGAGACACGGCCCAGACUCCUACGGGAGGCAGCAGUGGGGAAUUUUGGACAAUGGGCGCAAGCCUGAUCCAGCAAUGCCGCGUGAGUGAAGAAGGCCGUCGGUUGGUAAGUACGUCUUC
rnacentral:rRNA from 1 species